rnacentral:rRNA from 1 species
CCUACGGGGUGCACCAGUGGGGAAUAUUGCACAAUGGGCGCAAGCCUGAUGCAGCCAUACCGCGUGUAUGAAGAAGGCCUUAGGGUUGUAAAGUACUUUCAGUUGGGAGGAAGGCGUUGAUGCUAAUAUCAUCAACGAUUGACGUUACCAACAGAAGAAGCACCGGCUAACUCCGUGCCAGCAGCCGCGGUAAUACGGAGGGUGCAAGCGUUAAUCGGAAUUACUGGGCGUGAAGCGCACGCAGGCGGUUGAUUAAGUUAGAUGUGAAAUCCCCGGGCUUAACCUGGGAAUGGCAUCUAAGACUGGUCAGCUAGAGUCUUGUAGGGGGGGGUAGAAUUCCAGGUGUAGCGGUGAAAUGCGUAGAGAUCUGGAGGAAUACCGGUGGCGAAGGCGGCCCCUGGACAAAGACUGACGCUCAGGUGCGAAAGCGUGGGGAGCAAACAGGAUUAGAUACCCGCGUAGUC